rnacentral:rRNA from 1 species
GACGUAGGGCGCGAGCGUUGUCCGGAUUUAUUGGGCGUAAAGAGCUCGUAGGCGGCUCGUUGCGUCGGCUGUGAAAACCCGCAGCUCAACUGUGGGCUUGCAGCUGAUACGGGCGGGCUUGGAUUCGGUAGGGGAGACUGGAAUUCCUGGUGUAGCGGUGAAAUGCGCAGAUAUCAGGAGGAACACCGGUGGCGAAGGCGGAUCUCUGGGCCUGUCCUGACGCUGAGGCGCGAAAGCUAGGGGAGCGAACAGG